CGCGUGACCUGACAGACGACGUCACAACACAACUGCAGCAGCUCACUCGCGGAUAUUCUCUUCUCGGUGGAGAUCUGGAAGUUUGGUAAGUUCAUUUUAAAUUUUAUAAUUAGGUUUUAGGAUUUUACCCUAUAGUGAACAUAUCUUUUAGUUUGAAAUGACAGUGGACGUUUAGCCGGCGAACGUUGCAAAAACACCGUUACAGAGUUAACUCGUCUAAUGUUAGCGUUACCCGAUGUUUCCCUGCUUGUCCCGUCAAUUUAAUCUAACUCGGUGAAUUACACCUGAUUUAUUUCGACCAAACCAGACCUAGUGAUUGUUGAAACGAUGAAAAGACAAAUCAAGAUGGUUAAUGUCACGGCAACCCAGGCAGACAUUGAGGCACAGCAGGUGAUACCAGACACACCCAGGCUCAUUAUUCUUGGACAUUCAAUUAUGACAGCAUACAGGUGGAUGCUAUCCAUUGAGGGAAACGUUCUCUUGACACUGGACAGCAGUGACAAAUUUAUAACCACCUUUGCAGUGCUGUUUGCAAGCUACUACAUUUCAACAUCGAGUACCAGGAGUCUGCUGCUUGUACUUUAGAGCUUGUUCAGAGGCAAGUGAAUUUCUUUCUGCAUUUCGCUUUUGUAUUGUAUUUAAAUCAUGUGUGCAACAGGCACUGGUUACUAACAUCUCUUAAAUAUCUUCUUUUGUGUUUAACAGAAGGAAGAAAUUCAUACAGGCUUGGAACUUAAAUAUCUUCUUUUGUGUUUAACAGAAGGAAGAAAUUCAUACAGGCUUGGAACAACAUGAGGCCGAGUAAAUGAUGCCAGAAUUUACAUUUUUGGGUCAACUAAUCCUUUAAACGCCAUUAAAACCUGUAAACUGCUGAUGCACUGAACAUGCAAUGGUUUUAAAUGAAAUGGUUUUAACAGUUUAAUUUUUGAAUAAAACAUUUUUGACAAGAAUAUUGUUUGAGUUGUCUUUUGCUUUGC
rnacentral:lncRNA from 1 species